rnacentral:lncRNA from 1 species
UUUUUGUUUCAAUUUAUAUCUUAUAUACUUAAUUUUUUGUUGUCUGUCACCUGAGAGGUGUGUUCAAAUCUCCAACUAUGAUAGUGGAUUUGUGCAUUUGUCUUUAUAGUUCCAUUUUCUUACAUACUUUGCAGUUACUUUAUUAAGGUAUAUGUAAAUUUACAUUUAUAUUUUUCUUCUGAACUGAACUCUUUGUGUGGUAGC